GACGAACGCUGGCGGCGUGCUUAACACAUGCAAGUCGAACGGUGAACUUGGAGCUUGCUCCGGGGGAUCAGUGGCGAACGGGUGAGUAACACGUGAGUAACCUGCCCUUGACUCUGGGAUAACUCCGGGAAACCGGGGCUAAUACCGGAUACGAGACGCGGCCGCAUGGUCGGCGUCUGGAAAGUUUUUCGGUCAAGGAUGGACUCGCGGCCUAUCAGCUUGUUGGUGAGGUAAUGGCUC
rnacentral:rRNA from 1 species